rnacentral:rRNA from 1 species
ACUCCUACGGGAGGCAGCAGUGGGGAAUAUUGCACAAUGGGGGAAACCCUGAUGCAGCCAUGCCGCGUGUGUGAAGAAGGCCUUCGGUUGUAAAGCACUUUCAGUAGGGAGGAAGGUAGUGUAGUUAACACCUGCACUAUUUGACGUUACCUACAGAAGAAGCACCGGCUAACUCCGUGCCAGCAGCCGCGGUAAUACGGAGGGGUGCGAGCGUUAAUCGGAAUUACUGGGCGUAAAGCGCAUGCAGGCGGCCUGUUAAGUCAGAUGUGAAAGCCCGGGGGCUUAACUCGGAAUUGCAUUUGAAACUGGCAGGCUAGAGUCUUGUAGAGGGGGUAGAAGUUUCAGGUGUAGCGGUGAAAUGCGUAGAGAUCUGAAGGAAUACCAGUGGCGAAGGCGGCCCCCUGGACAAAGACUGACGCUCAGAUGCGAAAGCGUGGGGAGCGAAACAGGAUUAGAUACCCUGGUAGCACAGAGAAAGUCGUAGG